AUUGAACGCUGGCGGCAGGCCUAACACAUGCAAGUCGAACGAGUGGCGGACGGGUGAGUAAUGUCUGGGAAACUGCCUGAUGGAGGGGGAUAACUACUGGAAACGGUAGCUAAUACCGCAUACCAUCGGAUGUGCCCAGAUGGGAUUAGCUAGUAGGUGGGGUAACGGCUCACCAAGGCGACGAUCCCUAGCUGGUCUGAGAGGAUGACCAGCCACACUGGAAGUGAGACACGGUCCAGAAGACUACGGGAGGCAGCAGUGGGGAAGAUUGCACAAUGGGCGCAAGCCUGAUGCAGCCAUGCCGCGUGGAUGAAGAAGGCGGUCGGGUUGUAAAGUACUUUCAUCGGGGAGGUGUUACUCGCAGAAGAAGCACCGGCGAACUCCGUGCCAGCAGCCGCGGUAAUUC
rnacentral:rRNA from 1 species